AGUGAACGCUGGCGGUAGGCCUAACACAUGCAAGUCGAACGGCAGCACAGUAAGAGCUUGCUCUUACGGGUGGCGAGUGGCGGACGGGUGAGGAAUACAUCGGAAUCUACUUUUUCGUGGGGGAUAACGUAGGGAAACUUACGCUAAUACCGCAUACGACCUACGGGUGAAAGCAGGGGAUCUUCGGACCUUGCGCGAUUGAAUGAGCCGAUGUCGGAUUAGCUAGUUGGCGGGGUAAAGGCCCACCAAGGCGACGAUCCGUAGCUGGUCUGAGAGGAUGAUCCGCCACAAUGGAACUGAGACACGGCCCAGACUUCUACGGGAGGCAGCAGUGGGGAAUUUUGGACAAUGGGCGCAAGCCUGAUCCAGCCAUGCCGCGUGGGUGAAGAAGGCCUUCGGGUUGUAAAGGCCUUUUGUUGGGAAAGAAAAGCAGCAGGUUAAUACCCCGCUGUUCUGACGGUACCCAAAGAAUAAGCACCGGCUAACUUCGUG
rnacentral:rRNA from 1 species